rnacentral:rRNA from 1 species
UACGGGGGGUGCGAGCGUUGUCCGGAAUCACUGGGCGUAAAGGGCGCGUAGGUGGUAUCGUAAGUCUGUGGUGAAAGCCCGGGGCUCAACCCCGUGUCUGCCGCGGAGACUGCGAAACUUGAGUACUGUAGAGGCGGGUAGAAUGCCGGGUGUAGCGGUGGAAUGCGUAGAGAUCCGGCAGAAGACCGGUGGCGAAGGCGGCCCGCUGGGCAGUAACUGACACUGAGGCGCGACAGCGUGGGGAGCAAACAGG